AUCAGUUGAAAAUAUAUCUAUGUGG
rnacentral:piRNA from 1 species